rnacentral:ncRNA from 3 species
AAUAACAGGUCUGUGAUGCCCUU